rnacentral:lncRNA from 10 species
CAAGUCUGCAUCAGCUGCACCCCAGCCAACUUGCAGUCAUAUGAGCAGUAAUGAAUAAUUGCUGUUUUAACCACCGUUUACUUGGGUAGCUUGAUGUGAUCAUUAAUUUUAUGUGUCAGUUUGACUAAGCCAUGAGAUGCCCAGAUAUUUGGGCAAAUAUUAUUUCUGGGUGUGCCUGCAAGGGGAUUUCUGGAUAAGAUAAAUAUUUGAAUCAGGAGACUGAGUGAGCAGAUUGCCCUUCCCAAUGUGGGUGGGCCUCAUCCAAUCUGUUGAAGACCUAACUAGGAUAAAAAGCUGAGAAGGAAAGAAUUCUCUUCUCUGCCCGACUGACUUUGAGCUGGGACAUCAGUCUUCUCCGGCCUUCAAACUCGAACUCAAACUGAAACUUACACCAUUGGAUCUUUGGAUUCUUAGACCUUUAAGCUGGGAACUUCAACUGGAAAUAUACCACUGGCUCUCACAGAUCUCCAGCUUGCUGACUGCAGAUCUUGGACUUUUCAGCCUCCAUAAUCAUGCCCUCUGCCCAGGAUUUUACAUCUAGUGCUUCCAGUCCCUCAGCUCUGUGAAGGAGGCAGCACUGUCGGCAUUUCAUCCAUGAAGACACAGGGGACCAUGGCCACCGAGCGCAUGCCCAAGUCCAUCAGCCCAGCAAGUGAAUGGAUGAAAACCCCAGCACAGCUCAGUUCGCUCCAACUCCAGCUCUUCCUAUGUGCCAUGAGUCUCAGUUGGUUCAUCUGUAAAAUGAAGGGGCUGGAACAGUUGCCCUCCCGGCUCUUUUGUUUUAUGACUUGAUAUUUGCUUGUGAUUGGGGCAGGUUUGAAAUUACUUCAGAGACCCAGCUUCUGCCAAAUCGUAAUCAAGUUGGCUGCCUGGUCUGAGGCCCGAUGAACAAUACUGCGUCUGUGGCUCAGCCCUGCUUCAUGAUGGCCAUGGCACAUUUCCUGCGGUGUCGAGAGCCCUUUCGGGGGGCGGGGGAGGGGGAGGGGGAAGGGGGGGCGGUGCUGGCCCCGCAUCCCUUCAUUUCCCAUGCUCCAUUGCAAUAAGUCACCAGCCUUUCAAAACACAUCAGUGUGUUCCUUUUUAUUGCCAUCAAACCCUCUGCUCAUAUGAUGGCUCAAUCACUGUGAUUUAUUUUAAUUGAAAAGCCUACCGGCCACCCUCUGCCAAUGCAACUGGCCAGCUCCUGUGUCAUUUCCUACCAGAACAUCCCCUGCCAACCCACAGCAUCUGCACAGGCCAGUGAAGGGGAGGAGGUGAGCUCUGAAUGGCCAUUUGGCCUCAACCUGACAUCCAAGAAGAUCCUCAAAUGUACAUUUUAACCUUUUCUCCCCAAAUGAUAAUAGAUAUAAACUGCAUGUAUUUUGUAAGUUUUAAAAGCAAUCAUUUAUAAUGGCAUUUGCAGUAACCUGGAUGGAAUUGGAGACCAUUAUUCUAAGUGAAGUAACUCAGGAAUGGGAACCCAAACACCCCAUGUUCUCACUUAUAAGCAAGAGAUAAGCUAUGAGGAUGCAAAGGCAUAAGAAUGACACAAUGGACUUUGGGGACUCAGGGAAAGGGUGGGAGUCAGGUGAGGGAUAAAAGACUACACAUUGUGUACAGUGUACACUGCUCUGGUGAUGGGUGCACCCAAUUCUCAGCAAUCACCACUAAAGAACUUACUCAUGUAACCAAACACCACCUGUUGCCCAAAAAACCUACUGAAAUAAAAAUAAAUAAAUAAAUAAAAGCAGUCAUUUAUGAAUAGACUGUAUUUGUUAAACCCU